AGUAAUCUGAGAACAGCAUUUCUGGAGGCCAGCUGAAUGCACCUUUGUCGUGUCCUAUGGUGGAAGGACGGUAGAGAGGAACUUGUAUUUACCACUUGUCUAUUCCGUGCUGGGCGAUUGACAUACUCAUCUCAUUUAAUCCUCAGAGAGGUAGGUGAGCACUUCUGAUUGGCCAGGAUGGGAUUAAUAAUGUGUGAAAAAUUACUUGCUCACAACGACUGCACUGUACAAUGGAGUAAGAAUCGUGGUUCCCAAUGGAGGAUACAGGGCACCAUUUAUUGUCAGAAAGAGGAAACACAGGCAUCAAGCCAAUGGAACAACUUUUUGGCUAUGGAAGGACGCCAACAAAUUCUGGAAUGUUUGUCUUUAUCAAAAGUGGGAAAAUGAAAGACAGACAAAAAGAACGUGAACUCCUAGAGAUGAGGUAACUGAGAAGAGAGAAUCUUGCAAGAGCAAGUUGCUGAUAGUCCAGGCUAAAAACCAAGUACUCGUCCGAGGCGUUUCCGUUGGAGCCACCAAGGAAGAGACACAAAUGAUUGCUUACAGAAAAUAAUCUCCAAAUGAAUGCUGGCCUUUCGGCCCCUUACAUGCACUCUCUCCUCACUUCUCUCCAAGGCUGACCAUCAGCACCCUCAGUAAUAGAGCGUGUAGCCCCUUUCGAACUCACUCUCUGGGAGUCCGGGCAUGUUGUCCCACCCAGGAGCUUCCGCCAACCGGGUAGCCACAUCUGGGACCUGUUGAGUAGUUGUGCCCCUUCCUCUCCCAUCACUUACUUGUUAUCUUCAUCCUUGACCUCGACCCUCUGGGGGUCCAGCGGGCCCUUGUAGUCCUUGGACCACUGAAACUCCGAGGAGUCGGGGGCCUCGGGGGCUUCGAAAGCCAAGUAGAUAAAACCCUUCUCAUCCACACCAACCUCGAUCUCCCGGGCAUCUGAGGGGAGGAGCCAAGGGAGGGCACUUAUAAAUAACAAAUCAGGUCAUUCCUCUCUCCCGCUCCCCGCUUACAACCCUCCAUGGCUCCCCAGUGCACUUGAGGAAAAUAAAUGAAGCCUUCAGGCCAUGCACGGCCUGGCUCCUUCUCAGCUCAAAUGCUACCUCCUCAGAGAAGCCACCCCUGACCAGUCUGGCUAAAGUACCCCCUCCUCACCUCACCCCACCACCCUCUUAUAUUUCCUUUACAGCACCUGUUAUUAUCAUAAAUCAUGUUCUUUAUGUAAUUGCUUGUUUACUGUCCAUUCCCCUUGCACACCUCUCCCCAUGCACACACUACAGCAGGGA